rnacentral:rRNA from 1 species
UACAGAGGUCCCAAGCGUUGUUCGGAUUCACUGGGCGUAAAGGGUGCGUAGGCGGUCGGGUAAGUCUGAUGUGAAAUCUCACAGCUUAACUGUGAAACUGCAUUGGAUACUAUCCGGCUCGAGGAAUGGAGGGGAGACUGGAAUACUUGGUGUAGCAGUGAAAUGCGUAGAUAUCAGGAAGAACACCCGUGGCGAAGGCGGCUCUCUGGGACGGUACUGACGCUGAGACGCGAAAGCGUGGGGAGCGAACAGG